UCCGGCUUAACGCCGGCAGUCUACCCAGAGUGCCCAACUGAAUGAUGGCAACUGAAGGCGAGGGUUGCGCUCGUUGCGGGACUUAACCCAACAUCUCACGACACGAGCUGACGACAGCCAUGCAGCACCUGUCUCUACGUCCCCGAAGGGAAAACCGGAUCUCUCCGGCGGUCGUAGGAUGUCAAGGCCUGGUAAGGUUCUGCGCGUUGCGUCGAAUUAAACCACAUGCUCCACCGCUUGUGCGGGCCCCCGUCAAUUCCUUUGAGUUUCAGCCUUGCGGCCGUACUCCCCAGGCGGGGCACUUAAUGCGUUAGCGCCGGCACUCGGAGGGUCGCUCCCCCAAGCACCUAGUGCCCAUCGUUUACGGCGUGGACUAC
rnacentral:misc_RNA from 1 species